rnacentral:misc_RNA from 1 species
GAUGAAGAACGUAGCGAAAUGCGAUAAGUAAUGUGAAUUGCAGAAUUCAGUGAAUCAUCGAAUCUUUGAACGCACCUUGCGCUCCUUGGUAUUCCGAGGAGCAUGCCUGUUUGAGUGUCAUUAAUAUAUCAACCUCUUCAGCUUAUGCUUGUUGAGUGUUGGAUGGUGGGGGUUUGCUGGUGUCUUAUGAAGUCAGCUCCUCUGAAAUGCAUUAGCGAAACAAUUUGUUGACCGUUCAUUGGUGUGAUAAAAAUAUCUACGCUAUUGACGUCAGUCAGUUCAGCUUCUAACAGUCCAUUGACUUGGACAAAUUUUUCAUUAAUGUGACCUCAAAUCAGGUAGGACUACCCGCUGAACUUAAGCAUAUCAAUAAGCGGAGGA